rnacentral:rRNA from 1 species
CCUACGGGUGGCAGCAGUAGGGAAUAUUUCACAAUGGGGGAAACCCUGAAGCAGCAACGCCGCGUGGAGGAUGAAGGUUUUCGGAUUGUAAACUCCUUUUGUUAGAGGAGAUAAUGACGGUAUCAAACGAAUAAGCACCAGCUAACGCCGUUCCAGCAGCCGCGGUCAUACUGAGGGUGCAAGCGUGACUCGGGAUCACGUGGCGUAAAGAGAGCGUAGGCGGGAUAGCAAGGCCGAUGUGAAAUCCUAUGGCUUAACCAUAGAACUGCAUUUGAAACUGCUAUUCUAGAGUAUGGGAGAGGUAGGUGGAAUUCUGGGUGUAGGGGUAAAAUCCGUAGAGAUCAAGAGGAAUACUCAUUGCGAAGGCGACCUGCUAGAACAUAACUGACGCUGAUGCGCGAACGCGUGGGGAGCAAACAGGAUUAGAUACCCUAGUAGUC